UAAAUUUAAGGAUAAUUAUAGAAAUUAUAUAUUUAAAAGAAUAUAUAUAUAUAUAUAUAUAUAUUAAUUCAUUAGAUAUUAAAUUACUAUAAAAAUAUAUUAAUAAAUUAUUUUACCUUAUCUAAAAUCUAGUUGAUGUCACCUCAAAAAAAUAAAAAAUAAAAUAAAAUCUAGUUGAUGGAUAUCUAGAACUCUUUUUAGAAUCCUGAAAUAAAUAAAUAGCCAACUUUAAUUUUUUUUGUUACACUUCCCCAAACUU
rnacentral:lncRNA from 1 species